rnacentral:rRNA from 1 species
UACGUAGGGUGCGAGCGUUGUCCGGAAUUAUUGGGCGUAAAGAGCUUGUAGGCGGUUUGUCGCGUCUGCUGUGAAAAUCCGGGGCUCAACCCCGGACUUGCAGUGGGUACGGGCAGACUAGAGUGUGGUAGGGGAGACUGGAAUUCCUGGUGUAGCGGUGAAAUGCGCAGAUAUCAGGAGGAACACCGAUGGCGGAAGGCAGGUCUCUGGGCCACUACUGACGCUGAGAAGCGAAAGCAUGGGGAGCGAACAGG